GGGUCAGUAGGUUGGUCGUGCCACCGGUACGUACUGGUCUCACUGAUUCCUCCUUCCUGAGGAACCGUAAUGCCAUUAAUUUGGUGUUGUGGGGAAACAGGACUGUUACUUUGAAAAAAUUAGAGUGUUUAAAGCAAGCUAACGCUUGAAUACAUUAGCAUGGAAUAAUGAAAUAGGACGAUCGAUCCUAUUUUGUUGGUUUCUAGGAUUGACGUA
rnacentral:rRNA from 1 species